rnacentral:rRNA from 1 species
UACGGAUGAUCCAAGCGUUAUCCGGAUUUAUUGGGUUUAAAGGGUGCGUAGGUGGUUUUUUAAGUCAGGGGUGAAAGACGGCAGCUUAACUGUCGCAGUGCCUUUGAUACUGAAGAACUUGAAUACACUAGAGGUAGGCGGAAUGUGACAAGUAGCGGUGAAAUGCAUAGAUAUGUCACAGAACAACGAUUGCGAAGGCAGCUUACUACACAGCGAUUGACGCUGAGGCACGAAAGCGUGGGGAUCAAACAGG